rnacentral:rRNA from 1 species
GGACUACCGGGGUAUCUAAUCCUGUUUGCUCCCCACGCUUUCGCGCAUCAGCGUCAGUAUCGGGCCAGUGAGUCGCCUUCGCCACUGGUGUUCCGCCGAAUAUCUACGAAUUUCACCUCUACACUCGGCAUUCCACUCACCUCUCCCGAACUCAAGACAGCCAGUAUCGAAGGCAGUUCCGGGGUUGAGCCCCGGGAUUUCACCCCCGACUAAACUGUCCGCCUACGCGCCCUUUACGCCCAGUAAUUCCGAGCAACGCUAGCCCCCUUCGUAUUACCGCGGCGGCUGGCAC